UAAGCUGGAGCAGCUUGGACCGUCAGCUCAUCGCGCUCCGCGGGACACGCCCUUAACUUUGGACACGGUGCACGAGGUGCACGUGCUCGCCCAUCAGCUGGUUCCCAGCAUCUGCAAGUGUGCGAAGACACCUACAGCGAAUCGGGGAGAGGAACUUGCACCACUAGGGUUCUCUGUCGCUCCCUCGGUUCGCCUCCUUCCUUCUUUUGGCGCAUCCUCUCACUCGAGCCCCAGCCUGUUGUAUUUACCCCCCCCCACGCUCCCCACCCCCCCGGAUCCGGACUCGGAGACUGAGGGGAACCCACCUGCCGGAGAUCGGACGCACCUCGGGAUGGAUGCCCUGAAAUCCGCCGGCAGAGCGAUCAUCAAGAGCCCGGGAGUCCCGCGGCACACAUGGGGAACUUCCAAGCACGAAAAGCUGCCGGAAAACUGGACGGACACCAAGGAGACACUGCUGGAGGGGAUGGUAUUCAAUGUCAAAUACCUGGGAAUGACAAUGGUGGGUCAGCCCAAAGGAGAAGAGAUGGCCUCAGCUGCCAUUCGUAGAAUCGUGUCCACGGCCAGGGCCAGUGCUAAGAAGUUUCGUAAAGUAACAUUGACGGUGUCUCCGAAGGGCAUCAUCAUGACGGACACAGAGACCACGGACCUCAUAGAAAAUGUCUCCAUUUACAGAAUCUCGUACUGCACAGCAGAUAAGACUCAGGAUAAGGUCUUCGCUUACGUCUCUCAGAGUCAGUUCAACGAGACCCUGGAGUGCCAUGCCUUUCUCUGCCAGAAGAAGAAGAUCGCUCAAGCAGUGACAUUAACUGUAGCCCAGGCCUUUAAAGUAGCCCUCGAUCUGUGGGAGAUUGCUCAGGAAGACAAAAACAAAAAAGCCCGGACCUGCUGUUCCUGUGCAGCCAUCAAAGGACAGACACAGACAUCAGACACUCCGUGUGGGCCUGCAGACCCAGAGGCACGCAGGCCCGUUGGUUCGGAGGAGAAGCUCCGGAGGCCCUUCUUCUCCGCUUCACUCAGCUCGCCGUCGCCUCGCAGCAACCCCACUCGAAGGCGACCAAUCAAACACGACUCUUGGGACGUGGACGAUGGCCUUGAUGAUGCGUUCUCAAGGUAACUCUGCGUUAAAAGAUGAAGAUGAAUCCAGGGCAGUGAUGUAGAGUGGAUGCACAUUAUAACUGUAUGGUAACUUAAUUUGUAUCCUAAAACAUAUGUAUUCGUUCAGUCAUCAUUGACUGUGUUGACAGAUGAUUUAGUGUCUAUUAGUGGAAAGUUUCUCAACAGAUCAAAGAAGCCGCCAAUCAUUAGGUUUUGUCGCCGAUGUACACGUUUGUUGUGUUGGAGCAUGCAGCGCUUUGGUGGAGGCAGAUGGGUGGAUGAGAGGCGGAGGUUAUACGCAGCAGUGUGGCCCAGAGUGUGCGGGGAGAUCAGAAGAGGAAGGCAGGUCAUCCGUGAGACGAGGGAUUACCGACCUGCUUCUGGUAGACGAGAUGCGCUCUGGAAUGUGGAGGACUCUGGAUCGCACUCAGUUGUCAUGGCUGUCACACUUCGGUGUGACACGUGGCUCCGGGGAGGGGGCCUUUAGCUCAGCAGAGGAGGGCGCAACAUGGAAGUAGAGGAGAUGGACACCGACUGGCCGAGUCCCGCUCCGAACCCGUCUCUAAGGAUGCAGCUCUGAGUCCCGGAGAGGAAUCGGAAUGACCUUUAAUAACACAUUCCGACAACACCUGCCCGACCCGGAGCAGCUCAGAGAUCAAAUCAAAACGCAGAACACGACGACGACCGGCUGGCAAAACACGUCGAGCUACCAGGGUUCACGGACUGAAUCGGUGAAGCUCUGCUUAAUCUUCUGUGGAAUGGAUGCCUCGAUGUCAUAAACUGCCACUCAACACACUUCUGCCAUCUUCUCACUAACGGCCAGAUGAAGGAAGGGACACAACGUUCGGCACAGCCCUGCAAGUUACACGUGAGGUAGUUCCACGGAAGACUCCUUUUUUUAUAUCGAACUCGUAAAAAACGCUCCACUUCAAGGGGGAUUUGGUUGAAGGUUGUCUGUGUUUGCUCAACACAGAAGCUGCUGGCAGUCUAAGCCGUCACUGGAGGAAGGUCAGUGAUGGAGAUCCUCAGCAAAGCCGGUUCAAAUUUUAUUUUCACGUGUUCAUCCUUCAGCUUGUUGUGCGGAUUCAAGUAGAUCUUUAAUUUAAAUAUAUAAACAGCUUCACUAUAGCCCACAAUGCCUCCGUUUUGGAGUGGUACCCAUCACGACGAACCCAUUUGGUGUGUAAAAAGAAUAGGUGAUAUUCCAGUAUUUUCUCCAUGUGCUUUAUGUUAGCAAUGCACAACAGCAGACUUUUCUCCCUCAGACAUUCCUUCAAAACAUGAAUAUGGCUUUUGAAACCAAAUUACAACGACUACUUUACAUUCUUCCGUCUCCUCAAUGAGUCAGCUGUCACUGUACAUAAAGAUGAUGAAGGUACUCAAUAGGAAUAGCAAUGAUGGAAGGUUAAGAGGGACGCGUGCAUGGCAAGGCCAAAUUAUCAGAGUGAAGAAACCUAUUUCCCUAUUCUGUAUUUUUUAAAUAUCAAAGCUGUAAAAUGUACGUAUGCAUAUGAACAUUGUAAAAGAAGUGGGAUGAAUAGAAUCAGGGCUUCACAAAGGUUGUUUUUAUUAAUUAUUCUUGUUCAGAGUGAAUGUGUACAUGGUUGUGUGUGUUGCAUUAGUUUAGACAAUUUGUACAAAAUAUAAUCUUGCAUGUGUUUUUUUUUAUCGCUGGAGGAAUUGCUUUAUUUUUUUUUCAAUAUAACCAUCAGUAACCAAGUGCAGUUUUUCAUUAUUAAGUCGUAAUCCUGCCCUCAAUGGAGUAAUCGUGUUACAUUGAUCGACAGGGUUCACGCUUUCUUCUCUUAACUGCAGUC